rnacentral:tRNA from 1 species
GCGAUUGUGGUGGAACGGUAGACACGCAGGCUUGAGGGGCUUGUGCCGAAAGGUGUGAGGGUUCAAAUCCCUCCAAUCGCACCA